rnacentral:rRNA from 1 species
UAUUAUUUUUAUUGUAAAUUUAUAGGCUAAAGUAUUAUUAGUUAAGGUCUUUAAACUUAAAGAAUUUGGCGGUAUUAUAGUCUAUUUAGAGGAAUCUGUUAUGUAAUUGAUAAUCCACAUUGAACCUUACUUAUAUUAUUUCUUGUAUACCGCUGUUUUAAGAAAAUACUUUUAAGUUUAUUUUCAUAAUAUUUAAUUAAUUAAUAUUUCAAGUCAAGGUGCAGUAAUAUAUUAGUUGAAUAAUGGAUUACAAUAAAAUUUAUUUAUUUACGAAUAUUAUAUUGAAAUAUAUUUUAGAAGGUGGAUUUAAUUGUAAUUGAAUAAAGAUUAUGAAAGUGAUUUAUAGCUCUAUA